rnacentral:rRNA from 1 species
GAAAGCGUGGGUAGCGAACGGGAUUAGAUACCCCGGUAGUCCACGCCCUAAACGCUGUCCGCUGGUUUUUGGAGGAAUCGACCCUUUCAGAGACGAAGCUAACGCAUUAAGCGGACCGCCUGGGUAGUACGAGCGCAAGCUUAAAACUCAAAGGAAUAGACGGGGGCUCGCACAAGCGGUGGAGCGCGUGGCUUAAUUCGUCGCUAAGCGAGGAACCUUACCGAGAUUAGAUAUCAUACUGCACGACUACCGAAAGGUAGUAAGCCUUCGAGGGUGUAUGACAGGUGAUGCAUGGCCGUCGUCAGUUCGUGGCUUGAGCUGUUCCCUUAAGUGGGGAAACGAACGCAACCCUCGUUGCCUGUUACAAGUGUCAGGCGAGACUGCCCCCUCACGGGAGAGGAAGGUGAGGAUGACGCCAGGUCAGCAUGUCCCUUGAUGCCUAGGGCUGCACUCGUGAUACAAUGGGAAGUACAAAGGGACGCAAUACAGCAAUGUGGAGCAAAUCCUGAUAAAACUUUCCCCAGUUCGGAUUGUGGGCUGCAACUCGCCCACAUGAAGUCGGAAUCGCUAGUAAUCGCGGAUCAGCACGCCGCGGUGAAUACGUUCCCGAGCCUUGUACUCACCGCCCGUCAAGUCAGGGGAGUCGGAAGUGCCCGAAGGUCGUCCUUGAGGCGAACUACGGUAAAUUCGAUAACAAGGACUAAGUCGUAACAAGGCACGGCUAGCGGAAGCUGGUCGUG